rnacentral:rRNA from 1 species
AAAUUGAAGAGUUUGAUCAUGGCUCAGAUUGAACGCUGGCGGCAGGCCUAACACAUGCAAGUCGAGCGGUAACACAGAGAGCUUGCUCUCGGGUGACGAGCGGCGGACGGGUGAGUAAUGUCUGGGAAACUGCCUGAUGGAGGGGGAUAACUACUGGAAACGGUAGCUAAUACCGCAUAACGUCGCAAGACCAAAGAGGGGGACCUUCGGGCCUCUUGCCAUCAGAUGUGCCCAGAUGGGAUUAGCUAGUAGGUGGGGUAACGGCUCACCUAGGCGACGAUCCCUAGCUGGUCUGAGAGGAUGACCAGCCACACUGGAACUGAGACACGGUCCAGACUCCUACGGGAGGCAGCAGUGGGGAAUAUUGCACAAUGGGCGCAAGCCUGAUGCAGCCAUGCCGCGUGUAUGAAGAAGGCCUUCGGGUUGUAAAGUACUUUCAGCGGGGAGGAAGGCGAUAAGGUUAAUAACCUUGUCGAUUGACGUUACCCGCAGAAGAAGCACCGGCUAACUCCGUGCCAGCAGCCGCGGUAAUACGGAGGGUGCAAGCGUUAAUCGGAAUUACUGGGCGUAAAGCGCACGCAGGCGGUCUGUCAAGUCGGAUGUGAAAUCCCCGGGCUCAACCUGGGAACUGCAUUCGAAACUGGCAGGCUAGAGUCUUGUAGAGGGGGGUAGAAUUCCAGGUGUAGCGGUGAAAUGCGUAGAGAUCUGGAGGAAUACCGGUGGCGAAGGCGGCCCCCUGGACAAAGACUGACGCUCAGGUGCGAAAGCGUGGGGAGCAAACAGGAUUAGAUACCCUGGUAGUCCACGCCGUAAACGAUGUCGACUUGGAGGUUGUGCCCUUGAGGCGUGGCUUCCGGAGCUAACGCGUUAAGUCGACCGCCUGGGGAGUACGGCCGCAAGGUUAAAACUCAAAUGAAUUGACGGGGGCCCGCACAAGCGGUGGAGCAUGUGGUUUAAUUCGAUGCAACGCGAAGAACCUUACCUACUCUUGACAUCCAGAGAACUUAGCAGAGAUGCUUUGGUGCCUUCGGGAACUCUGAGACAGGUGCUGCAUGGCUGUCGUCAGCUCGUGUUGUGAAAUGUUGGGUUAAGUCCCGCAACGAGCGCAACCCUUAUCCUUUGUUGCCAGCGGUCCGGCCGGGAACUCAAAGGAGACUGCCAGUGAUAAACUGGAGGAAGGUGGGGAUGACGUCAAGUCAUCAUGGCCCUUACGAGUAGGGCUACACACGUGCUACAAUGGCGCAUACAAAGAGAAGCGACCUCGCGAGAGCAAGCGGACCUCAUAAAGUGCGUCGUAGUCCGGAUUGGAGUCUGCAACUCGACUCCAUGAAGUCGGAAUCGCUAGUAAUCGUGGAUCAGAAUGCCACGGUGAAUACGUUCCCGGGCCUUGUACACACCGCCCGUCACACCAUGGGAGUGGGUUGCAAAAGAAGUAGGUAGCUUAACCUUCGGGAGGGCGCUUACCACUUUGUGAUUCAUGACUGGGGUGAAGUCGUAACAAGGUAACCGUAGGGGAACCUGCGGUUGGAUCACCUCCUUA